rnacentral:rRNA from 1 species
AUCGAUGAAGAACGCAGCGAAAUGCGAUAAGUAAUGUGAAUUGCAGAAUUCAGUGAAUCAUCGAAUCUUUGAACGCACCUUGCGCCCUUUGGUAUUCCGAAGGGCAUGCCUGUUUGAGUAUCAUGAACACCUCAACUCUUCAUGGUUUUCCAUGAUGAGCUUGGACGUUGGGGGUCUUGCUGGCCUGCGGUCGGCUCCUCUCAAAUGAAUCAGCUUACCAGUGUUUGGUGGGCAUCACAGGUGUGAUAACUAUCUGCGCUUGUGGUUUUCCACCAAGUAACCUUCAGCAGUGGAGGUUCACUGGAGCUCACAGACGUCUCUCCUCAGUGAGGACAGCCCUUUGAAUGUUUGAUCUCAAAUCAGGUAGGACUACCCGCUGAACUUAAGCAUAUCAAUAAGCGGAGGAAAAGAAACUAACAAGGAUUCCCCUAGUAACUGCGAGUGAAGCGGGAAGAGCUCAAAUUUAAAAUCUGGCGUGCCUCUGGUCGUCCGAGUUGUAGUCUGGAGAAGCGUUUUCCGUGUUGGACCGUGUAUAAGUCUCUUGGAACAGGGCGUCAUAGAGGGUGAGAAUCCCGUCUUUGACACGGACUACCAAUGCUAUGUGAUGCGCUCUCAAAGAGUCGAGUUGUUUGGGAAUGCAGCUCAAAAUGGGUGGUAAAUUCCAUCUAAAGCUAAAUACAGGCGAGAGACCGAUAGCGAACAAGUACCGUGAGGGAAAGAUGAAAAGCACUUUGGAAAGAGAGUUAAACAGUACGUGAAAUUGCUGAAAGGGAAACGCUUGAAGUCAGUCACGUCUGCCAGGACUCAGCCUUGCUUCUGCUUGGUGCACUUUCUGGUUUGAUGGGCCAACAUCGAUUUUGACCGUUGGAGAAAGGCUUUGGGAAUGUGGCACCUUUUGGUGUGUUAUAGCCCUUUGUUGUAUACAACGGUUGGGAUUGAGGACUGCAGCACGCCUUCAUGGCCGGGGUUCGCCCACGUACGUGCUUAGGAUGUUGGCAUAAUGGCUUUAAGCGACCCGUCUUGAAACACGG